rnacentral:rRNA from 1 species
CCUGGCUCACGAUGAACGCUAGCUACAGGCUUAACACAUGCAAGUCGAGGGGCAGCAUGGUCUUAGCUUGCUAAGGCCGAUGGCGACCGGCGCACGGGUGAGUAACACGUAUCCAACCUGCCGUCUACUCUUGGACAGCCUUCUGAAAGGAAGAUUAAUACAAGAUGGCAUCAUGAGUCCGCAUGUUCACAUGAUUAAAGGUAUUCCGGUAGACGAUGGGGAUGCGUUCCAUUAGAUAGUAGGCGGGGUAACGGCCCACCUAGUCUUCGAUGGAUAGGGGUUCUGAGAGGAAGGUCCCCCACAUUGGAACUGAGACACGGUCCAAACUCCUACGGGAGGCAGCAGUGAGGAAUAUUGGUCAAUGGGCGAGAGCCUGAACCAGCCAAGUAGCGUGAAGGAUGACUGCCCUAUGGGUUGUAAACUUCUUUUAUAAAGGAAUAAAGUCGGGUAUGGAUACCCGUUUGCAUGUACUUUAUGAAUAAGGAUCGGCUAACUCCGUGCCAGCAGCCGCGGUAAUACGGAGGAUCCGAGCGUUAUCCGGAUUUAUUGGGUUUAAAGGGAGCGUAGAUGGAUGUUUAAGUCAGUUGUGAAAGUUUGCGGCUCAACCGUAAAAUUGCAGUUGAUACUGGAUAUCUUGAGUGCAGUUGAGGCAGGCGGAAUUCGUGGUGUAGCGCUGAAAUGCUUAGAUAUCACGAAGAACUCCGAUUGCGAAGGCAGCCUGCUAAGCUGCAACUGACAUUGAGGCUCGAAAGUGUGGGUAUCAAACAGGAUUAGAUACCCUGGUAGUCCACACGGUAAACGAUGAAUACUCGCUGUUUGCGAUAUACAGCAAGCGGCCAAGCGAAAGCGUUAAGUAUUCCACCUGGGGAGUACGCCGGCAACGGUGAAACUCAAAGGAAUUGACGGGGGCCCGCACAAGCGGAGGAACAUGUGGUUUAAUUCGAUGAUACGCGAGGAACCUUACCCGGGCUUAAAUUGCAGAUGAAUUACGGUGAAAGCCGUAAGCCGCAAGGCAUCUGUGAAGGUGCUGCAUGGUUGUCGUCAGCUCGUGCCGUGAGGUGUCGGCUUAAGUGCCAUAACGAGCGCAACCCUUGUUGUCAGUUACUAACAGGUUCCGCUGAGGACUCUGACAAGACUGCCAUCGUAAGAUGUGAGGAAGGUGGGGAUGACGUCAAAUCAGCACGGCCCUUACGUCCGGGGCUACACACGUGUUACAAUGGGGGGUACAGAGGGCCGCUACCACGCGAGUGGAUGCCAAUCCCCAAAACCUCUCUCAGUUCGGACUGGAGUCUGCAACCCGACUCCACGAAGCUGGAUUCGCUAGUAAUCGCGCAUCAGCCACGGCGCGGUGAAUACGUUCCCGGGCCUUGUACACAC